GCAUGUUAUUAUCAUUUUCUCCUCUUUGUAUUUUCUUCCUUUUUUCUGUCUCACAACACAUAGCUUCAAAUAUGGUCGAUUAGCUCACCGACGACCAGAUCUCUAAGUUCAAGGAAGCCGUCAGCCUCUUUAAUAAGGAUGGCGAUGAUUUUUUCUGUUAAAUCUCUCUUUAUUUUAUCACAAUUUUUUUGAAAUUAUUUUUCCCCUCUUACCCUUUGUUCUCUGUUCUCUGUUUUCUUAGAUUUAAUUUUUUUUUGCAAUUUAUGUUUCAAUUUUAUCAUUCUUAUUUUGAUUUUUUUUAGGACCCUGAACUCGAUAAAAAGGUUGUUUCUGCUCGCUUAC
rnacentral:misc_RNA from 1 species